AGCAUUUGAAUCAUCGAUGAUUAAUCAAAUGAGUUACUCACCGGGAUAUCAGAUGCUC
rnacentral:pre_miRNA from 1 species